AUUUCGUGAUGAGGGUACUUCUGUAAUAAUUCUUUGCACCUUUCCUAUGCCUCAUAGAAGGACUCAUCAUCCAUUUGUUGGAAAGCAGUGGUCUUGUUCUUCAACU
rfam:Gossypium arboreum cultivar AKA8401 contig_80732_1, whole genome shotgun sequence.